AACGAACGCUGGCGGCAGGCUUAACACAUGCAAGUCGAACGGGCGUAGCAAUACGUCAGUGGCAGACGGGUGAGUAACACGUGGGAACCUUCCUAGGGGUACGGAACAACUCAGGGAAACUUGAGCUAAUACCGUAUACGUCCGUGAGGAGAAAGAUUUAUCGCCCUUAGACGGGCCCGCGUCGGAUUAGCUAGUUGGUGGGGUAACGGCCUACCAAGGCGACGAACCGUAGCUGAUCUUAGAGGAUGAUCAGCCACACUGGGACGGAGACAUGGCCCAGAAUCCUACGGGAGGCAGCAGUGGGGAAUCUUGGACAAUGGGCGCAAGCCUGAUCCAGCCAUGCCGCGUGAGUGAAGAAGGCCUUAGGGUUGUAAAGCUCUUUUACCAGGGACGAUAAUGACGGUACCUGGAGAAUAAGCCCCGGCAAACUUCGUGCCAGCAGCCGCCGUAA
rnacentral:rRNA from 1 species